CAGCCCUAAACGAUGCGCGUUAGGUGUAUCGGUGACCACGAGUCACCGAGGUGCCGAAGGGAAACCGUGAAACGUGCCGCCUGGGAAGUACGGUCGCAAGGCUGAGACUUAAAGGAAUUGGCGGGGGAGCACCACAACGGGUGGAGCCUGCGGUUUAAUUGGAUUCAACGCCGGAAAUCUUACCGGGACCGACAGCAACAUGAAGGCCAAGCUGAAGACUUUGCCGGAUUAGCUGAGAGGAGGUGCAUGGCGUCAGUGACU
rnacentral:rRNA from 1 species